GAUAUACAUAAAUACAUGCUAUUUACUACCAGAUACACUAAAAUAUGGAGAGAGGCGGAUGAAAUCCCUAGAUGCAUGCGAAUCACACUAAAUCCAGGUAUCUGAAAUACUAAAUAAAGGGAAAAAGGAGAGCGAGAUAGGAGUGACACGAUCGAGAUACAUAGAUACAUGUGAAUCACACUAGAUUCAUAUAUCUCGAAUACAAAAUAUAAUGAGAAAGGCGAGCGAGACAGGAAUAUGGCUAGCGAGAGAGUAGCAUACAUUCAAAUCCACUUGGAAUACAAUGUAUCUAGAAUAAAUUACAGUUAAUUUUGAGUCAUGUAUCUGUGAUAUAUGUAUCUGGAC
rnacentral:lncRNA from 1 species